AGAUUACUCCCUCCGUUCGGAAUUACUCGUCGAAGAAAUGGAUGUAUCUACAUGUAUUUUAGUUGUAGAUACAUCCAUUUUUGUGACAAGUAAUUCCGAACAGAGGGAGUAGUUU
rnacentral:pre_miRNA from 1 species